UUAAAUUGCUGUGGUAUUUUGACUAUACAAAGGUAUUGAAAUAAGAUUUUAAUUGAAUGCUAAGAGAAUGGAAUUACAGAAAAUAGCUUUUUUUAGAUUAAAAAUUGAAAUUUUUUUAAUUUGUGCAGAAACAAUUAUUAAUAUUAAGGACAAGAAGACCCUAUGAAUUUAUAAAUUUAUUUUAUAGUAAUUAAUAUAAAAUAAAUUUUGGUUGGGGCGACAAAAAAAAAUAAAAAACUUUUUUUUUAUAAAAUGAUCCAUUAUUAAUGAUUAUAUGAAAAAUACUCUAGGGAUAACAGCGUUAUAUUUUUUGAUAGCUCAUAUUGACAAAAAAGUUUGCGACCUCGAUGUUGGAUUAGGAUACUUUUUUAAUGAAAAUAUUAAAAAAAAAAGUUUGUUCAACUUUUAAUUUCCUACUUGAUCUG
rnacentral:rRNA from 1 species